UGUUGCUUGCAAGGGCGUAUGGUGGAUGCCUUGGCAGACAGGACCGAUGAAGGACGUUUGAGGCUGCGAUAUGCCUCGGGGAGCCGCCAACAGGGCUUUGAUCCGAGGAUUUCCGAAUGGGGGAACCCACCGACCGUCAUGGGUCGGUACCGGCUUCGGCCGGGGGGUACGCAGGGAAGUGAAACAUCUCAGUACCUGCAGGAAAGGAUAUUCCGUGAGUAGUGGCGAGCGAAAGCGGAUGAUGGCCAAACCUUGCGCGUGUGAUACCCGUCGGGGGUUGCGCGCGGGGUGUUGCGGGAUCGCGUGCGCCGGCUCCGACGGGCCGGCCGGCAGUUGCAGAAAACCAUGUGUCAGGGGAACCGGGUUGAAUACCGGGCCGCAGAGGGUGAGGGCCCCGUACCUGAACGCGCAUGGUCUGCCGAUCGCGUCUCCCAAGUAGCACGGGUCCCGUGGAACCCCGUGCGAAUCCGCCCAGACCGUUGGGUAAGCCUGAAUAUUCCUGUCUGACCGAUAGCGAACGAGUACCGUGAGGGAAAGGUGAAAAGUACCCCGGGAGGGGAGUGAAACAGUCUCUGAAACCGUGCGCCUACAAUCCGUCGGAGCCCUUUUGUGGGGUGACGGCGUGCCUAUCGAAAAAUGAGUCUGCGAGUCAGUGGCAUGUGGCGAGCAUAACCCGUGUGGGGUAUGCGUAGCGAAGGCGAGUCUUAAAAGGCGUUUGAGUCGCGUGUCCUGGACCCGAAGCGGGAUGAUCUAGCCCUGAGCAGGUUGAAGCGCGGGUAAGACCGCGUGGAGGACCGAACCCACCUGGGUUGAAAACCGGGGGGAUGACUUGGGGCUAGGGGUGAAAGGCCAAUCAAAUUCCGUGAUAGCUGGUUCUCUCCGAAAUGCAUUUGGGUGCAGCGUCGGGUCAUUACGUCCCGGGGGUAGAGCUACUGGAUGCUUGCGGGCCCGUAUCGGGUACCAACAGCAACCAAACUCCGAAUACCGGUGACGCGUAUCCCGGCAGUGAGUCGGCGGGGGAUAAGCUUCGUCGUCGAAAGGGAAACAGCCCAGACCGUCGUCUAAGGUCCCGAAGCGUGUGCUAAGUGGGAAAGGAUGUGGAGUCGCAUAGACAGCCAGGAGGUUGGCUCAGAAGCAGCCACCCUUGAAAGAGUGCGUAACAGCUCACUGGUCUAGUGGUUCCGCGCCGACAAUGUAGCGGGGCUCAAGCACACCACCGAAGACGCGGCAGUAUUUUGUACUGGGUAGGAGAGCGUCCCAUGAGGGGCGAAGCGGCCGUGUGAACGCGCCGUGGACUUCAUGGGAGUGAGAAUGCAGACAUGAGUAGCGAGAGACGGGUGAAGAUCCCGUCCGCUGGAUGACCAAGGGUUCCAGGGCCACGUUCAUCGUCCCUGGGUGAGUCGGGUCCUAAGGCGAGGCCGACAGGCGUAGUCGAAUGGAUGAACGGGUCGAUAUUCCCGUACCGGCUUUCAGCCGCCAAAACCGAGGCUUGGAGUACUAACCUCCGGGUCCGGGCUUACUGCUCCUUCGGGGGCGGGAUGCCCUGGCCUGUUGGGACCGAUCCUUGUAGUAGGUCAGCGCAGGAGUGACGCAGAAGGGUAGCCGGCCGCGGAGGUGGUCUUCCGUGGUCAAGCACGCAGGGCGUGGGACAGGCAAAUCCGUCCCGCAUGGGUCCGAGGUGCGAUGAUGGGGGCCUUAUGGCCCGAUAUCCGGUGAUCCCGGCUGCCGAGAAAAGCUUCGGCGUCAGGCUCGAAGCCGCCCGUACCCCAAACCGACACUGGUGGUCAGGUAGAGAAUACCAAAGCGAUCGAGCGAAUCCUGGUCAAGGAACUCGGCAAAUCACUCCCGUUCCUUCGGUUUAAGGGAGACCCCCGAUGGUGAACACACUUGCUGUGGGAGCUUUUGGGGGUGGCACAGACCAGGGGGUAGCGACUGUUUACCAAAAACACAGGUGCAUGCGAAGGCGCAAGCCGCUGUAUAUGCACUGACGCCUGCCCGGUGCCGGAAGGUUAAGAGGAUCCGUCAGCCUUCGGGUGAAGCGGUGAAUUCAAGCCCCGGUAAACGGCGGUGGUAACUAUAACCAUCCUAAGGUAGCGAAAUUCCUUGUCGGGUAAGUUCCGACCUGCACGAAUGGCGU
rnacentral:rRNA from 1 species